UACAGAGGUCUCAACCGUUGUUCGGAUUCAUUGGGCGUAAAGGGUGCGUAGGCGGUCGUGCAAGUCGGAUGUGAAAUCUCAGGGCUCAACCCUGAAACUGCAUUCGAUACUGCGCGGCUAGAGUGCUGGAGGGGAGACUGGAAUUUACGGUGUAGCAGUGAAAUGCGUAGAUAUCGUAAGGAAGACCAGUGGCGAAGGCGAGUCUCUGGACAGCAACUGACGCUGAGGCGCGAAGGCCAGGGGAGCAAACGGG
rnacentral:rRNA from 1 species